ensembl:lncRNA
GUGCUGAAGGGCGCAUGGGGUCAGUGGGACUGGGCAUUGCAGCUCUGUCCAUGGUACCGCGGGAGGGGGGGCUGCAGCUUUCCUUGGCUCCUCCAUCUGCUUUUCCAGAUCCUUCACUGCAGGAUUGCAGAACCUUUGCUCGAUGUCUUCAGGAAGGUGUGGUGAGAAGUGCUCGAUGGUAAUCCAGAAGGCAACAGAAGGGCUGAGGAGGCCCUCCUUGGGGCAGCUCUCCUUGCAUGGGGCAGAGAAUGUGGCAUCUUGAUUGGCAGUGCUAAGUGGUGGGAAGGAGCAUGCAAAUGGUGUUUGCCAAUAAAUCAGCCCCAGAUUACUCCGGAUGAUGAUAAGUGACAGAAAAACGGAGACCCUUAAGGAAAGACUGAAAAAGGAACGUGGGGAUCUCAAACAAGAGGUCUCACUGCUUCUUCUGAAGGAUCUUAGUUUCUUCUUUUUAAAUGAGGCUUUGCUCCUUAAGCACAAAGUGCUUGCCAUUGCACUGCCAGAGAUGCUGAUUGCUCUCCCUAUCCAGUUCUGCACUCCCUAUCCAGAAGCUGGUGUCAUCCUGGGGCUGAACCUUCCCCUGUAGGCAGAUGUCUAUGAAGCAGAAAGUCAUGAAGUCUGUGCAGACAAAGGGAUCUAUGCUGGUCCUGGUGGGAACCCACCAUCUCUGUGGGCUCAGCAUAAAGGCAUGGCCUGGGGCUGUACAGGGCUGUAUGGGCUGGGUCACAGACCUUGUGCUUUGCUUGUACUCAUACACACUGCAUUGUGGCCUUCAACAAGCGUGGGUCAGAGGGCCAUCACCCUGCCCAGGAGGGAGGUGGCUGAAGGCCAUGC